rnacentral:lncRNA from 1 species
AGCACAAAGUAAGUGCUUAAUAAAUGUUUGACAAACUGAUGUUUGCUUUUUCUUUACCUACAGUGCUGUUUGGUUUUUUUUGUUUGCCGGUGAGGAGUUGAGAAAGGGCUCACUAUGUCAUCCAUGCCAGCUCUGAGUCCAUUAUGUAGCCCAGGCUGGCUUUGAACUCAUGAUCCUCCUGCCUCAGCCUCACAACUGCCAAGAUUACAGAUGUCAACGAUGAUCCAUGAUCAUUUACUCAUUUGAAGGAAGAACCUUGAUCGAGUGACCUCUGGAGAUAAUUUCCCGACAGAGAAGGAAAGUUGACUGAAUGAAGAGUGAACUAUUAACAGAAAGGAGAAUGAAAGAAUGAUUAUGACAGCUAUGGAGGAAAAGGAUUCUCAGACCACAGAUGAGGGCCUGGACAAUGGCAUCCAGGGGAACGACGUGCUCUUCAGACAUUGCCUUCCUGAUCCAGCUACUCCUCCCAGAACCCACAGAGCCUGAGCAGCCCCACACACCUACAAAUAUUAUUUGGUUGCUGCCAACAAGCCAUGAAAAGGGAGAGCCCGGGAUCCCGGCCAAGGGCCACAUGUGCAGGCCUCCUCCUUCCUUGUGCAUGUGGCUGGGGCGCAGCACUGUAAGAGCCCUGCACAGGAUGCUUACUGGCUAAGAGGACUAAAAAAUUAAAAAUGUGUACAUACUGGGUGCUUGUGAAAAAGUCAGAACUUUGCCGAGUAUGGCAGUGCACUCCUGUAAUCCCAGAGUUCUGGGCAUCUGAAUGCAGGAGGAUUGCAAGUUCAAGGCCAGCCUGGACAAUUUAACAAUUUAGCAAGACCCUGUCACAACAUAAAAAUAUAAAAAACAGGCUGGGGAUUAGCUCCCUGUGAAGGCCCUAGGAUCCACUCCCAGUACUGCAAACACACACACAAAAAAGUCAGAAGUUUUUUGGACUUGCAUUUAUUUUGUGGUGUAGUGUUUGAACAUUGCUUUGGGUGAUGGACAACUCUCUUCAGGCCUCAGAGUCAGUUCCAACUCUGCUGAUGCCACCCUUCUCCUGUUCCACAGGAGCAGAAAUUACCAUUAAAACAUUACACCUGGGCUGGGAAACGAGGCUGUAAACUCAAGGCCUGUGGGCUCUCUCUCUUUAGCCAAAAGAUGCAGAAAUGCAUUGUUUGAUUUUCAUGAUGCGUCAAAAUUUGAAAACUUUCACAUUGAAAUCUCUUUUCUUUACCUUUUUUUAUUUGCCAAGAAAUUUUCUUCAGUUAUGUGCUACUGAUAAACAACAUACUCACAGAUGGUGUAACAUUUCACUCAUGUUGUGAGAUUUUGAGCAUUACGUAACAAUUUGCAUCCAGAUUUGAAUAUUAUUUACAUUUUUAAGAUUUCUUUCCAAAAGGAGUUCUCACAUGAUUUUUCCUUUUUCAUCCAAAUAAAUAGGGCUUCUGCUCAGUGUCCAUUCUUAUAUUUAUAAGGUCUACCAGUAGUGUACAUUAUUGUGGGACUUUGAAUGGAUGUGAAAGAAAUAAAACAUAUUUCCACAUUCCACAUUUUCCUAGGUUUUUCUCCAGAAUGAGUUUUUUCAUGUCAACCAACAGAAGCGGAAGAAGUAAUGGCCCUAACACAUUCCUCACAUCGGGGGCUUUUCUCCACUGUGAGUCCUCCUGUAUGGGUUUGUUUUCUUCUCUUUAACAAUGGACGAGGCCUGGGGGUGUAGUUCAGGGGCAGAGAGAGCACUUGCCUAGCUUGUUCGAGGCCCCAGCACCCAAGAAAAGAAAAACAAAUACAAAACACGAAAGUUGUUGCUGCACUCAGUGCUGCAUGGCCAGGGAGGGAAGCACACCGGGGCCUGUGCUGCUGGAGAUCUGGUUGCUCCCUUUGGGCUCAAGCGGACUUCACUCUUCCUAGAGAUCUGUCUGGUUCCUGGGCAGACGUAUUUGAGUUUGAGGCUUUAAUCCCCACUGAACCAAAGAGUGUAUAGCCAAAGAAGCUCACCUUGACAUUUUCACUUCACUGUGAAUGAAGAUCCACAGCACAGGGCUCCGGCUCUGUGGGUAUAGAAAGUUGCUGACCCUCACAGGGGAAAGAAGACUGAGUCUGAGGUUGCAAGCAGGAUAUACAGGAAGAGCGCCAGCAUGGGCCACUCAUCAGGAGUGUGCCUGCCCUGCCUGCCCUUCGAGAGCGGUCAUGGCUCCUCUCUCGAAGCUCGGCAGUACUGAGUGGUGGGUAGCCUGAGUUCACUCUGCAGGAUCCAAUUUAGGUUUCACUGGCCAGGCUAAAUGGCACAGGCCACCCUGCCCCUAAUGUUAGGAAAAGCAGAGGUUACUGGACCACCUGGCUGAACUUACAGAAAAUCUCCAUGCUGCUUACCACCAGGCACCUCAGACAGCAGGUUUAGUCCAGACUGUGCAUUUCCCAGCCAGAAAGAGGUCACGGGGUACCUGCAGCCCCAUGGGGCCCCAACAAUGCUCCUUUUCCCAUGAGGCUGCCCCUGGGAGGGUCACUUGGCCACUCUGUCAUUCUCUAUGGCCAUGUCCUGAGUUAAUAUACAAACCAGCUUUGAGGUGAAACUUAUCACUCGUUUACUUCCUGCACUAAAAACAAACAAAAAAACAAAGGGCUAGGUGUGUAGCUCAGGGGGUCGAGUCAGCCUAACAUGCAUGAAGCCCCUGGUUCAAUGCUGAGGAACUCCAAGUACCAAAGGGUCCACAAUAAACCAAAAACCAGGCCCUUGUGUUGUCAUCUUCUUUUUUGUAUACCACCCCCAAAAAAGCCAAUCUGCUCGUGGUUUCGAUGUCCAAGUACAUUCCUUUCACCUAACUUGUAAUGUUCGUUGACUUAGACAAUGUGGAGAGAAAAACCUGUUGGAUCGCAUUAUUCAAAACCAUCUCCUAGGCUUGCAGGAAAACAAUAGGUUGCUCCUUGGGAAUUCCCACCUCUGCUAGGCUGGAGGCACCACUAGAUAUUUCAAAAGGCCAUGUGACUAAUCAAGGAAAGCUGGGGCUGCCUCUUACCACUAGGUGUCGCACUAAAUCGGGAACACGGACCACCAGGUCCUACCGGCUGUCCAGUCCCAAGUACAAAACCAUCAGAGGAGCUGGAGAGAAAACUAUUCCUGAGUUUUUAUAACUGCAGCCCCAAAUCUUCUUACGUGCCCCUUAUAAGUGGAGCUUUUAGAGUUCGACAUUGCUGUGCAUUUUUUAAAAAAGCAAAUAGCCCCACGUAGGGGAACACUCACUCUCUAUUUUACCUAACAGUUGGAAUAGAAGAUACUUUUGAGUAUAUUCCAAAUUAUGGUGUAUUCAGUUUCAUUUUCACAAUAUAUUUUCAAAUGUUAAUACUACAACUUCAUUGGCCAAAUGAUUACUGUAUCAGGAUAAGAAUAAGAAAAACUGCUAUAGGGUGCCUGGGUAAUGUUUUAUGGAUCUCGGUUUCUUUUUAGGAAAGUGGGAACAAUACUUAUCUCACAGGAUUAGUUCUGAAAACUAAGAAUAUGAUGCAUAAAAUGUUGCAGUUCUUUCAAAAAUUUAUAGUGUGUGGCAAGUUCGAGGCCCUGAGUUCGAUUCCUGGUACUAAAAAAAAUUAUACUGUGAUCUUUCCAAAAGCCACAGUCACCCUUCCAAAGGAGGGUUAGACACGCAUUUGUGCACAAGUUCUAAUACAACUUUUUAAGCCACCAAAGAACUUAAAUAACAUUAAAUCCCUUAUUAAUAAAAAAGCAAGUAUACCACAAAAAAAGGUAACUGACCUCUGCCAUACAUGCAAUUAACUAGCGGCAGAACCUGGAAUUUGAGAUCUACUGAUAGUCACUGUUGCCCCUUACCUCAAUAACUACAUUUGCCUGAGAAUCCUGCAGACAGUGGAGUCAAUCCCCGGGAAGUCUUCACAUCCUCUCCUCAUAUUUUUGUAUCCACCUUAUAGAUUCAUUUUUUUCUACAUUCAAAUACUUGGGGAGGGGAUGGAGAUAUGAAGAAGGGCUGGUUAGUGUCUGGCCAGUUAGGAAAAGAUGAUUGCAAUAAUCACCAGAAAUCCCUGCACAACUACCAGAGACCUCCUGCUGUCAAUUUUGAAGAACUUGGGCCAAGGUGUUUUAUUUUGCCUGGACCAGUUCUAGAAGUAGUUGGAGCAUUCAACCCUUGGCUUGCAGGCUAGGAGAUGGGGUGGGAGGAGCAUGUGUUCUAAUUCUGCAGGGGAAACCAGAGGGUAGAUGGUCAGGCCAAACCCCUUUCUCUCAGAGUGGCUCCCCUCAAGGAGAGGAUAGCUCGAAUUGCUAGCCUGGGGAUGGGGGGCUAAGGGCCAGCAGUGGUAGGUGGGGGCAAUGUUAGGGUUGGCUGAGCCUCCUGAAGGAUGGCUAACAGGUACUUUGCAGCUAUCCUUAAGGGCCAAUCUCAGGCAAGGCACUAACCCAGUUGUUCAGCUGGGCACCCACAAGUAAGCUCGGGCUCCUUUCUCUGCAGCAGCUCGUUGUAAAUCAGAGAGCAUGAGCUCAGUAGUUAUUUCAAUAUUGCAAGGCAUCCUGAACCUCUACUAACUACAAAGAUCAACACCUUGCUUUACUUGGAAAAAAAGAAAUCAUGGUCCCUAUUUAGUACUUUCCUCAUACAGAGCCCGAGUUUUCCCCUCCUCCAGUCCACAGGAUCAUUAAUCCCUAAAAAAUGAUUUGAGGGUUCGCCAAGCAUUUAGGUUUUUAAUGCCAGAGCUUUCGCAGUUUCUUAUGAUGUGUGGGAGGGCGGCAGCCAAAUGUCUCUGCAAUGCAAAGAGCUGCUAUUGGCAGAAACACAGACGGCUUGCGACCUUCUAAACCACCCAUGUCCUUCCCUGCACAAAGAAAUUUGGUGGAAGCAAAUUCCUACACCUAGCCAUCACUUCCACUCUUGAGUUUUCAAAAUAUCAGAAAAACGGAAAGGACCGGCAAGUUGGCAAACCCCAAACAGGAACCACCGUCUGCGUCCUUUGGAUCUCAGCAGUUGACGACCCCAAAUCAAAUCGAUCGUGGGAAACCCCAGGGAAAGAAGGUUUCUUGCAGGGAGUCAGGAUUACUGAGUGCAGGCUGCAGGGAAGUA